GAUGAACGCUGGCGGUGUGCCUAACACAUGCAAGUCGAGCGAAAAGAUAAGGAGCUCGUGCCCUUAACGUUGGCGGCGGACGGGUGAGUAACACGUGCGUAACCUACCUAUAUUACGGGAAGAACACCGGGAAACAGGUGACAAUGCCGGAGAAUACGUAGUACCGCAGAGUGCUAAAGUGAAUGGUGGUUUUGCUAUCACAUAGAGACGGACCCGCACCGGAUUAGCUAGUUGGUAAGGGAACGGCUUACCAAGGCAACGAUACGUAGCCGACCUGAGAGGAUGAUCGGCCACACUGGAACUGAGACACGGUCCAGACUCCUACGGGAGGCAGCAGUGGGGAAUCUUCCACAAUGGGCGCAAGCCUGACCCAGCCACGCCGCGUGAGUGAUGAAGGUCUUCGGAUCGUAAAGCUCUUUUGUUGGGAAAGAACAACAGUGUAAGUAACUGUGCACGUCUUGACGGUACCUAAUCAGAAAGCCCCGGCUAACUACGUG
rnacentral:rRNA from 1 species